rnacentral:rRNA from 1 species
UGGGGAAUAUUGGACAAUGGGCGCAAGCCUGAUCCAGCAAUGCCGCGUGUGUGAAGAAGGCCUUCGGGUUGUAAAGCACUUUUAUCAGGAGCGAAACGCUGUCGGCUAAUACCCGGCGGAACUGACGGUACCUGAGGAAUAAGCACCGGCUAACUUCGUGCCAGCAGCCGCGGUAAUACGAAGGGUGCAAGCGUUAAUCGGAAUUACUGGGCGUAAAGCGUGCGUAGGCGGUUUCUUAAGUCUGCUGUGAAAUCCCCGGGCUCAACCUGGGAAUGGCAGUGGAUACUGGGAGGCUAGAGUGUGUCAGAGGGUGGUGGAAUUCCCGGUGUAGCGGUGAAAUGCGUAGAGAUCGGGAGGAACAUCAGUGGCGAAGGCGGCCACCUGGGACAACACUGACGCUGAGGCACGAAAGCGUGGGGAGCAAACAGGAUUAGAUACCCUGGUAGUCCACGCCCUAAAGCGAUGCGAACUGGAUGUUGUCUCAACUCGGAGAUCAGUGUCGAAGCUAACGCGUUAAGUUCGCCGCCUGGGGGGUACGGUCGCAAGACU